GUGGUGGAGGUUGUUAUUGUGAAGAAACUCUUAACAUGUUCUAUUAUUUUUGGCUUGCAGGAGGAUAAAACAGCGUUCAUUUAUCACAUGAAUAUUAUGGCUGAUUCAGCAAGAACUAAUUCAGUUGUGGCUUAAAUUUAUGAGUAAGGAGCUAGUUCAGUUUUUCUCAAUACUUCAGAGACUAAUCAUAUUCAAGGGGGAAACAGUUUGGGAUAUAAGAAUUUCAUAGAAGAAAAAGGUACCACAGAUGAAAACUACAUGAAACACAGAGUAGCUCUGUUCAGAGUUCAAGGUACAAGUCAAAACCUUUAGUAGAAGUGGAGGAUAUUUUGGUAUAGAGAGAUGGUCAAAGGUGUAAAUGCCAUUUAAUUUCUAACUAUGCCUUGGAGGAGAUACUCCCGGGUAUACUGGUCACGAAUAACAAUAAAAUCAGGCCAAAAUUCAAAGAAAACUCAAUUAUCAUAGGCAAAUUUUGACACACUCAUAAAAUUAUGUGUUAUAUCAAGAACAAGUAAUAAAUUGUUUAAUUGAAAAGCAAUAUUCUUGUAUGGAUCAGUAAGAAUUGAAGAACCUUUACUAGUGAUACUAAUACCUAUACCAUUACCCACAUACAGUUUAUCAGAAUUUGCU